GGCUUAGAAGCAGCCAUCAUUUAAAGAAAGCGUAAUAGCUCACUGGUCGAGUCGGCCUGCGCGGAAGAUGUAACGGGGCUAAACCAUGCACCGAAGCUGCGGCAGCGACGCUGAUGCGUUGUUGGGUAGGGGAGCGUUCUGUAAGCCUGCGAAGGUGUGCUGUGAGGCAUGCUGGAGGUAUCAGAAGUGCGAAUGCUGACAUAAGUAACGAUAAAGCGGGUGAAAAGCCCGCUCGCCGGAAGACCAAGGGUUCCUGUCCAACGUUAAUCGGGGCAGGGUGAGUCGACCCCUAAGGCGAGGCCGAAAGGCGUAGUCGAUGGGAAACAGGUUAAUAUUCCUGUACUUGGUGUUACUGCGAAGGGGGGACGGAGAAGGCUAUGUUGGCCGGGCGACGGUUGUCCCGGUUUAAGCGUGUAGGCUGGUUUUCCAGGCAAAUCCGGAAAAUCAAGGCUGAGGCGUGAUGACGAGGCACUGCGGUGCUGAAGCAACAAAUGCCCUGCUUCCAGGAAAAGCCUCUAAGCAUCAGGUAACAUCAAAUCGUACCCCAAACCGACACAGGUGGUCAGGUAGAGAAUACCAAGGCGCUUGAGAGAACUCGGGUGAAGGAACUAGGCAAAAUGGUGCCGUAACUUCGGGAGAAGGCACGCUGAUAUGUAGGUGAAGUCCCUCGCGGAUGGAGCUGAAAUCAGUCGAAGAUACCAGCUGGCUGCAACUGUUUAUUAAAAACACAGCACUGUGCAAACACGAAAGUGGACGUAUACGGUGUGACGCCUGCCCGGUGCCGGAAGGUUAAUUGAUGGGGUUAGCGCAAGCGAAGCUCUUGAUCGAAGCCCCGGUAAACGGCGGCCGUAACUAUAACGGUCCUAAGGUAGCGAAAUUCCUUGUCGGGUAAGUUCCGACCUGCACGAAUGGCGUAAUGAUGGCCAGGCUGUCUCCACCCGAGACUCAGUGAAAUUGAACUCGCUGUGAAGAUGCAGUGUACCCGCGGCAAGACGGAAAGACCCCGUGAACCUUUACUAUAGCUUGACACUGAACAUUGAGCCUUGAUGUGUAGGAUAGGUGGGAGGCUUUGAAGUGUGGACGCCAGUCUGCAUGGAGCCGACCUUGAAAUACCACCCUUUAAUGUUUGAUGUUCUAACGUUGACCCGUAAUCCGGGUUGCGGACAGUGUCUGGUGGGUAGUUUGACUGGGGCGGUCUCCUCCUAAAGAGUAACGGAGGAGCACGAAGGUUGGCUAAUCCUGGUCGGACAUCAGGAGGUUAGUGCAAUGGCAUAAGCCAGCUUGACUGCGAGCGUGACGGCGCGAGCAGGUGCGAAAGCAGGUCAUAGUGAUCCGGUGGUUCUGAAUGGAAGGGCCAUCGCUCAACGGAUAAAAGGUACUCCGGGGAUAACAGGCUGAUACCGCCCAAGAGUUCAUAUCGACGGCGGUGUUUGGCACCUCGAUGUCGGCUCAUCACAUCCUGGGGCUGAAGUAGGUCCCAAGGGUAUGGCUGUUCGCCAUUUAAAGUGGUACGCGAGCUGGGUUUAGAACGUCGUGAGACAGUUCGGUCCCUAUCUGCCGUGGGCGCUGGAGAACUGAGGGGGGCUGCUCCUAGUACGAGAGGACCGGAGUGGACGCAUCACUGGUGUUCGGGUUGUCAUGCCAAUGGCACUGCCCGGUAGCUAAAUGCGGAAGAGAUAAGUGCUGAAAGCAUCUAAGCACGAAACUUGCCCCGAGAUGAGUUCUCCCUGACUCCUUGAGAGUCCUGAAGGAACGUUGAAGACGACGACGUUGAUAGGCCGGGUGUGUAAGCGCAGCGAUGCGUUGAGCUAACCGGUACUAAUGAACCGUGAGG
rnacentral:rRNA from 1 species